rnacentral:lncRNA from 1 species
CAGAAACUGCCAUACUGAGAACUGAGCUUCAGCAGCUAAAUCAGGAACUGCAGGGUGUGCAUUAGCAGUGCAGAAGGACAGCCCAAGAACUUGCCAGUCAAGAUGAAAAACUUCUUCUAAUGGAAUCCAGCUUGAAAGCAACUCAAGAGCAGCUAAGUGAGCAAACAGCAGAAACAGUUCACCAAGAACAGAACAGUAGAAAAUCACAGACAGAGCUGAAAGAAGAUCCUGAGAGAACGUAUUAUAGCUUCUGAUGAAGAAAUUAGUGAUUACAAGUGAGUAACUGCUUUUAUAGUAUUUGAUAAACAGAAGACAUUAAAGACAGCAGCAAAUUCUUUUAAUAAGUAUUAUGUUAACCAUUUAUUUCUGGCAAGAUGUAGUGUAAAUAUGUUCUAUAGCUACUGAAUAAACUAUUAAAUCUAAAAGAUUGAUUAAUGUGUACUUUAAAAUAUAUUUUGCACUUAAAAUUAAAAAAAAAUACUUUUGUUAGUGGUCUAUUUUACUUUUGGAAUGAAAAAGAGAAAAAGAUUCUAUGGUGUUGAAGUAGAAUAAUAUUUGUUACUUCUAUCUUAAUAUUAUUCUCAUCUUCCUAUUUUUAGCAACUGAAGUUUAAAUAUGCAUUUUAUUUUCUUUAUUUUUUUUAGAAGCUGUCUCUAAGCAAGAUGCUGCCAAAUAAAAGGAAAUUUAGUGUUUGAACUUUUAGUCACAACAGUAAGGCACAUAUGAGAUUGCAUACUAUACUUGAGAAAAGUUUAAACAGAAAAAUGUACCUCUAUUCUCAGAAAAAAAAAAAAUAGUAUCUAUAAGUUUAUAAGUUUAAAUGUUAGCUCUGAAGAUUUUAAUUAAAAAAUACUAAUCUUCAACAAAUAACUUUUAUAAAUUAUAAUGACUUUAAAUGUAUUUUUAUAUUGAGACACAAAAUGAUACAUUAUUCAGAUUUUUCAAGAUCUACAGUAUGGUAGAAAUGAUUCACUACUGCUUCUUUUUGCCUUAUUGUAUGCAAACUGUUACAUAUGUUAUAUUAAAAAAUUGUUAAAUGUAGAGACAGAAACUCAAGCUGUUUUAUAAUAUCAUAGAGUGCAGGUGAAUGCUUUAUAAAGAGAGCAUGACUGAAAUAAAGUUUAUUCAUUCAGUGGUAGGUUGAACAUUUAAAGAGAAAUGUUUUAUCUCAGAUUUGUACCAAGCAUCAAGGACUGUCUCUACAAAUCUCCUCUGAGAGAAGCUUUGCUAGGUUUAGAUGCAAUAAACAUAAUGUUUCAAAAUCACAAUAUGACAAUGUUAUAAUUUGUAUGCUCAGUGUAAAUAGCUUCUAGACUGGAACUUCACUCUGUAUUCAAAAGUUUAAAGCCAAUUUUUCUGCUGAAGACUGGGAAAAUCUCUAUGGGAAGAAAAAAACGCACAAGAACAAAAACAUUGUCUACAGUAAUAUGUCUUCAUUUCUUUAAAUAAAAUAGCUUGGUGGUUUUCAACUUCUAGUUAUACCUCUAAAGACCUUACUACUACUUCUCUAGGGACAGUAGUGUCACUGAUUUGCUUUCCUAACCUAUCUUGACUCCUUUGCUACAGUAAGCUUUCUUAACCAUUUCAAGUGAUUCUUCAGUUGCCAAAAUGCCAUGUUAUGCAAAUUCCUGUAGAUAUUUACUUCAAAAUUAAAAGGUUAAAAUCUUCUAGGAGUACUGGCUGUAAGUUUGUGUGAUACAGUGAUAGAAAUGGUAGGGGAUGUGGGAGGAUUGAAACCUCCAGCUGUAUCUGAUCAAAUGUGUGAUGAAAUACAACACUUGAUAGAGCAGGAAUUUUGCAAAAGUGAAAUGAGUUUCUCUGUUCUUCAAAUAGAAAGACAAAUGAUAAACACUACAAGACUUUGAGACACAUUUCUUUCUUUUUUUUUUUUUUUAUGAUUUCAUAGUAUACAUUUUGUGAAUAAAUAAAAACUUGGAUGAAUCUGUUAACAUACAAAAAUUCACUAAGCCACCUUUUUUUCUGUUUAUAUUUGAUUUUCUUUUUCUGCUCUAUUUUUCUAUUUCUGUUUUCACCAAACUAAUAUGUUUGUUGGCUUUGGAAGUUUGUUAAUUUAGUACAUGAGCAUAAUGUAUUUUGAGUUAGGGGAGUCUUCAGGUUACAGCUCUAUAGAUUGUCAAGAUUAUUUUUAUAGGCUCUUAGGUUAAUUUUUAUGUUUAAGUUUAUGACACUUGUUUUUUAAAAGUACUGUGAUAUUACUGCACGAUUAUAGAGAAGUAUUUGUUGAAUUAGGAAAAUUAACGCUGUAAAUUUAAAAUUUUAAUAAAGUUGAAAUUAUAAAGAUAAAAACUAAGAAACAAAAUUGAACAUUUUAGAUAUUAAAUUCCCCCUUAAAGAUAACAUUUUACUGAAUACCUGAAAACAAACAUGUUGUGCCAGACAGUAUCUGCUGUGCUCUGUUCCUUGAGAGGCAGAAAGAACAAUGGAUCUCUUUCCCCAUGGGUGUUUGGGGACAGGGAAUGUCGUAAAGGUUAUGUUCAUUUACUAUGAAGGGCACAGCACGUGUUGUAAAGUAACAUCCCUUUGGUGCUGACUUAUUCGAAGUCACAUAGUCCUGGACUUUACCUACCACCCUACUUAGUGAUUCUGGCAAAUGCAGAUGGUAUCAAGGUGAGAGCUUAGGACCUUACAAAGAAAAAUGCAGUGAAGCAUAAAUUGGUGGAUUUAAACUACCGAGAGAGUUAAGAUUCUGCUAUAGCUGUUGUGACGCCUAUAAGGAGAAAAGUCCAUUUUUGUAUGCUUUUAUUUCCUUGUAAUGUAAAUGUACAUUAAAGGAUAUUUCUCCUGGAAGUGGUGUAAAAGGAAAGUACUGAAGAGCAUUUAAAAAACAAUAAAACUAGCAUUAUUUGUGCUAGUUUACAAAAAUAUUUUUUUAUAAAAUAGAAUAAAAAUAUUUUACUAACUGUACUGGAUUCUCAAAAUGCAUGUAUUCCAGGUAUAACCAAAAUUUGUAAGUAGUCACAAGCUAUGUUUGCUAUAUACUUAUUCUGGAUGAAAUAAACCUAAAGUUACACACACUCCCCCCCAGCCUCCAAUAUAAGCCUGUUACACUUGAAAGAUUUGUUCGGAAUGUCCAGUGGGAACCUGGAAAUCGUAAUAAUUUGUAGUAUCGAUUGUGUGAAGCUAUGCAGCUGGGGCCUCUAGUGAAUAGACAGGAAUAGACAUUUUAUUGAUUAACUUUUACAGUCAUAUUUUCAAGACUCUGCUGCAACAUAAUUUUCACUUCCCAGCUUUGUGCUGCUGCAUCAUGAAACUUGAAUUCUUCUCUCUUAACAUUUACCCACCUGAGGGAAACAGUAUGGAGUUGUCUCUUUUAAGCUGCGCUCUGCAGAAAUGCAUAACACUUGACACAGUGAAUUCUUCAAAAUUUACCCUCCGCUGUUGCAAUAAAAUGAAAAAUAUUAAGAAGUGAUAUUAGUAUCACCCAAGUUGAACUGCCCACUCCAUAUGUUAGACGCCAUUGUUUCAUACUUCCUAGUAAUUUUAUCCACCUUUUUUUUUAUUUUUAUUUUCUAAGGGGCUAAGAUUGUGGCAAAAAAAAUUGCCACCCUCCUCACACCACAGAUUCCAGCAGUGCUUAAUGGAGUUUGUCUCAUAAUUAAAUAGGUGAUUUUAUUAGUUACUGGAGAAGAAUAAGUGCUUCCCUGAAAAUGUGAACUAUGAAUUAAAAAAUACUCAUUUUUAAGAGUGACAGCCUGUGUCAAAUAAAAUUCCUUGUAAAAGUACAGAAAGGGCAGUUUUUCAUUAUAAUUAUCAAUCUAUCAUUUAACAAUGUAAAAAUAUGUACCAAAAUAGUAAACAGACUAGUCUUAGAAAGCAUUAUUUCACAUUUCUGAAGUUAUUCGUUUUCAGAAAAGAAAAAAAAAAGGGGGGGGGGGGGCAUUUUGCCAUUUUGUAAAGAACUGUUGCAUAUUUUCUGAUUUUUUCCCAGUAUGAUUUGCAUUCUAAAUCAGAUGCCCAAGCCACUAUUCUUUCAUGCUGAUAAAAUUGCUGGUAAAAAUCUCAAUCUAUCAUUUUUUUUUUCAUCUAAUGACUGUUUCUUUGUUGUUGUUGUUGUUGUUAUUUUACAUGGUAACUUUUACUUGAAUGCUGUUUGCAAUGUAAGUUUGAUAACAGCUUUCACAAAAUAGGACAAAUAUUCACAUACAUUGCCACUGGUGCUAAUAUGAUUUAGACUUCUGUCAUUCUAUUAUUUUUCCUAGAGAUAUUUUAUUACUAGUGUCUUCUAAGUAUCUAAAUGUUUAAGAUAUUUGUGGUCAUGUUUCCUUUUGUCCUCCCGCUCAUCAGAUACAUCUCAGUGUGCACUGUAUGGAGACACCAAAGCAGAAAUACUCGCAUAGAUGACAGAAUGUUCAUCUUGUUUGCAGUUGUCUAAACUCUUACAGAAAAAAUCCUGAUUUCUCUUAAAAAAGCAGAAAACUGUGUGGAGAACUUUAAGGUAAGAAUAAAAGGAUCAAAGAAAGUUGGAGAACAGGUGCUACUCAAGGCCUCAGUAUCCACUGGACCUGAAAUAACCUUGAAACAGAAUCAUUCUCGAUCAGAUGAAUAACGAGAAAAUUUGUUAAGAGUGCAUAGAAUUAUAUUUUUCUAAUGGACAAACUUCAUUGUACAGCAAUAUGAGAAAAGAAAUAUCACAUCCUCAUGACUUACUAGACCUCAGUCUUUCAAACAUAUACAGAUGUCAGCAGUUUCAUGAAGCCAAUUACUCUAUAACCAUGUGAAAAACUGUUCAUGAGUUUGCAAGAUUUAAGAUGAAGAUUGUUUUAAUAUUAAGGAUUACUCAGUAUUUUAUUUAGUAGUUGCAAUGCUUUAUUAUAGAAGUUAUGUUGUAAAUCAUGAUGAUUGUAGAAAAUAAAUGAAACAACUGAUCAUUUUACUUCAGAUUCAUUUAACACAAAUCCAAAUGAAUGUGAUUUGUGCAUGUGAGAAUGCAUGUGCAUGCUCUUGUGGUUUAGUUAAAGAAGGAAGAAGUCAUGUUCCCUCUUCUGAAUGUUUGUAGAGAUGUUUAAGUGAGAACAAAGUAGUAAGUUAGUAAGAUUUUUAUGUUCUCAGUAGAUAACUACCAUAGUAGUCAGACCACUGUGAACAGCAUGUUAGCUUCAUUGCUCAAUUUCAUGUUUAUUUUUCUAUUUUUUUUUCUAUUUGGAAAUAUGCAUGAUGAGGCUUCUUGUAGUUAUAAAACAAACAAACAAACAAAAAAACCUUUUUAUCGUGAAUUAAAGCAAUGAAAAUUUAUAAGAAAUUAGAAAAAAAUAAUUGAAAUAAUUAAGAUAUUUAUCUAUAUUAAAUAAGUUAGAUAUCAUAUAUAGCAAAAUGUUUUUCAGGAAGUGCAAUUGCAGAAAUUCACAACUAGUUUUAUUUCUUGCAUUUGACCCGAGAAGUCUGAUUUAAUUGUAGAAAAAAUAAAGGCCAGAUAGCUCCAUUACUUUACCUGUUUCACCUUAAAAAAAAAAAAAAAAAAAAAAAAGGAAUAUCUGAACCAUUUUAAUUGACUUAUAUUGUUUAGUGGGAUUUUAAUGCAUAAGACAUAAAUCAUAAACAUAGAAGUAUAAAAGUAUAGCUAAGAAAUGAAAUGUACAUGAACUCUUUGCUUUUUUAAAAGUACUGCAGAAUUGAAGACUUGAAGUGAAAAUUUAUGUUUAUUGAAUUUCAUAGUACCUCUGACACAAACACAUAAAUAAAUUACUGAAAUAAUAGUAAUAAUAUAGCAGAUGACCAUCCUAGAGUAGAAUAUGAUCCUACACAUUUAUGUCUUCCUAGGCAGUAUAGUUACUACUGGGAAAAAUUGAAUUGAUUGCAACGGAAAUAUACCUGACAGUAAGCAUUUACAGUGGCAGGCAAAAUUAUUUAAGAAAAGAGAAUAUAAAAUUAAGAAAGACAGAUGGAGUCAUAAGAGUGAAAUACAAAUAGUCUGAAUCAGGAUUGAUUUCAACAUAAUGUGGUGGAGGAAUCCCCAUUUAUUGAUCAACUUUAAAGCCUAUGCACAGCACUUAAAAAGAUAAAGUAAGCAAGGUCAGAUAAUCAAAGCAUUUAAAUAGUAAAAACAGCAACUGCCACUGUAGACUGCUAAAAUAAAUCCAUAAUACAAAUUGCUUUAGCAAAAAGUGGAUGAGUAGCUGAUCUUCCUAUUGAACUUUAUACUGUUCAGUGACCACACUGGGAAAAGGAUUGGGAGAAAUGCCUUGAAGAUCAAUAUUGAGUGAGAUGUAGCAGGGAUUCAUUCUGAACAUGAAAGAAUUACAAGUAUGAGAGUAGAGAUCUUGAAGAAAUGUCAUCAAGAAGGGACUAUUCUUUUAAAAAUAUCACACAUAUUACAAAAAAGUGACAUUAGUUGAUAUUCUAUCAUGAUCUCAGAACACUGAAAUCUUAUUAAAUCAACUAUUAUUACAAAACAUGAAAAUAACAAAAAGAAAGUGAAUAAUAUUACUAAAAAUACUUUGAAAAAAUCAGUAAAUUUUGUCUUAAAAAAAAGAUUUUAAAAUAUAUUAAUUUAUUAAUUAAACUGGCACGUGCAUAUGCAAUUAACACAUUUAAGUAUUAUUAUUUCCUUUUUUUUUUUUUCUAAAUAACAUUUUAGUAGAUAUUUUUAUUGCAUUAUAGAAACUGGAAGGAUCUAUUGCAAAUGCUCCAAAUUUCAAUUCAACCUAAGCCUUUACAGGCUUUUCAUUAAAAUAAAUAAAUAGAUAGAGAGAUAGAUAUGUGCUAUCACUUUCAGUUCUACAUAACUUUCAUCCAGCACUGUUUGAGACGUAUUUAUGAGGAAAAAAUCCUAGAUGUAGCAGUACUACAGUAGCUCAUUGUCUUAUAUCUAUUGAAUCAAUUGACACUUGUAUUAUAUUAUCUCAUGAGAAGUGCUGAAUUUUCAUGUACUGUUGCCCCUUAUAAAUAUAGAAUACUAGGUUUUUGUUUGUUUGUUUGUUUCAUUUCUGGUCAAUCAUCUUACUAAUAAAAAAGUAUUCUUGCCAGAAAGUUAUUACUAUCAGUGUUUGAAAAUACAGGGCUGCUCUGAAAGUAAUGCUUUUGUUUUUUUUAUGUUGGCCAACAACAUCAGACACAAAUGUGGGAGGUAUGACAGUAGAUGUUGAACUUUCCCACCAAUAUUCUGUUACGUUUUGUUGCCCUGUGACAGAUGGCAACAGAGCGGGCAGUCUGUCAACAUGACACGUGACCUGGAAGUGCAUAUGAAGUAAAUGUAUGUCAUUGAAUUCCUCCAUGUGGAAAAAAUGGCACCCACUGACAUUCACUGGCACUUGCUGAAUGUUUCUCGAGACCCAACAGUGAAUGUGAGCACAGUCAGGUGGUGGGUGGUGUUUUUCAGCAAUGGUGACAGUGUGUCACUUCCUCUGGUGCAGAUUUUUAUGAGCACAGCAUGCAGGCUAUAGUUCAUUGCAGACAAAAAUGCAUAGUUCAUCACGGUAACUAUCUUGUAAAAUAAUGUUUUGUAGCUGAGAAUUUGCUGUAUCAAGUAGUGAUCAAAUAUCAAGUAGUGUUGUUGUACUCUAUGUAUUUCUUGUAGUUUCCAUGGAAAUAGAUACAAAGAAUUAUUUUUUUAGUGACCUAGGUAUUUGUAUUUGAAACAAUAAUACACACACACACACAAUUUCGAGUAUUUCAGAAAUAUAUAUAUAAAGUAGAUAUAGUAUUCAUAUUUUCUAUGAACACCCAGUUCAGCAAAAUAUAGUAGAAAACUGAGUCCCAAAAGCAUAAAGUUUCUUCACUAUUGUAAACCUAUAGUAUACCUUCUUGUAAUGAAUAAUUAUUUACAACUAGUAUUGGUUCCAUAUUUACAGUAGGAAUUGCUGAUUACAGCAAUUUCAAUAGCAAAUUUGUGAAACAAUAUUCACAGUUGUUAGAGAAAGGUCAGCUUCUUUGCAUUCAUUAGGAACUUGGAGGACCAUUCACCGUAUUUUUCCUUUGGGGUGCUUAUAGUUAUUGAUUUGUACAUAUCUAUAGGAAAAAUUAAUUACAAUUAUUUUUCAUUUACCACUGGAGGCUGUGUAAUAAUAAUUGUAAUAACAAAGUUCAGCACAAAAAGAGGAAAAAAAAAAAGAAAAAAGAAAAAAAAGAAGAAACAGCAAAUUAAAUAGCAAUAAUUUUAAAAAAUUAAUAUUGUUAGAUUUAACUUGUUUAAAAUAAUAUCUUCUGAAUUGCCUGAGGAAAUCUCUUAUAUAACUUCCAUUAAUAGUCACAAUGUUUUUAUUUUAAUGGAAGUGCGUAGGGCACUUACAGUGAUGUGAUAUAAGGUAUUCACAACUUUUCUCCCUAUGAGUGAUCUGUAAAGAUGCUUAUAAACUCAGAAAACAUUUAAUCACAUGCUUAAUUUUCCUUACAUAGGGAACUUAAAUCAUGUAACCAGUAUAGUUAUUAACUUCAAAAUGUGAUUUAAGUGAAAGAAUAAUCCUGGCAUAAUAAAUUAAAUUAUUUGCAUGCUUACAUUUUUACUCUAGUUCUUAAGGGUCUUUCAAGAACAAGAGCUAUAUAAAACCGAAUGGAAACAUUAUAGUCAUUGUCUCCUAACUCCUUAGGUCUGAAAAAUGUGAGUAAUGCCUCCAGAAAAGCUUAAAUGGGAAUCACGCCAAGAAUGUGGGACCAGGAAAGUCAAAUUGUCAGACUGAGACAAAACUUUGUGGAAAUGGAAGAAGAAGUAAAGAACUUAAGACUUACACACAGCAAUGAUGCUCAGAUGAUUGAUAAGAAUCUGAAUACUCUGAGAAAUGAGAUGAACUUGUAUGAAGACACAUAGGAUGGUAGUCAAAUGAGCUGAAGUUUAAAUAUGAACAACACAAUGCAACACUGAGGCCUGCAUGACUGUAAGAAUGUUAGGAUAGAAAAUUGUCUUUGGUAGCAGCAAAGAUUAAAAAAAUAGUAUCACUUAAAUAAAUACAUGUGAAGAAGCCAAAUUUGUAACAAAAAGGAAACCAGUAAAUGAAUUCACAAAAGCCAGCUACUACAUAGCAAAUCUCUGUAUAAAUGGGCUGAGAGUAUGUACCAAGAAGAAGGCAAGUAUCUAUUCUUUUUCAAUGGGAAAAACAAAAAACAAAAAACAAACAAACAAAAAAGCUAUUUCAUCCUUACUUUGGGAAAAAGGCACACAAAACCAAAGCAAAAAAUGCCUCACUGACUGCAUCUGUCCAUUCUGUACUGUAAUUUGUUUCCCGCUAUGAAGAUUUAGGUUAAAUUCAUUUCUAUUAUUAAAGACAAAUAAGCUGCAAAAGAACUAAUUCUCUGUCUCCAUCUUUUACAUGUAUAUUUAUUCAUAUGAAUGCACUUUUGUUCAUUUAUUUUUACUUCUACCUUGACAAAGCUGUGCAAAAAAUAACAUAGUUUGAUUACUCAUAAUUUGCAUUUGUGUAAUUAAUAGGGAUGAAAAGGAUUAAAAUCAAUGGAGAAAUAUUUAUUUGUUUAAAUUGGAUAACUAUGGAAAAACUAUUUGGCAGGAAUGAAAGCUUUUCCAUCUAAAUUACGUCAUAUAAUUUAAACUGUUUUAGUUUUUAAGCUUAAAAAGCAUGAAAAUCACAAAGCAGAACUGGAAGAAGACACAGAAAAAUACUGCCAUGUAAAGGAAGAGCCUUCAGAACAAGGGUCUCAGCUCAAAAUUAGCUAGCUGGUCCAUUCUGGAGUGGGAAAACUGAUAAAAUGCCGCAGUACUCAGGUAAUACCCUUGAUACAAUAUGUGGAAGGGAGACAGUGUUUGAAGUAAUAUCAGUGAAUGUAUCAGAGUACUCUCAGAGAAUUUUUCCAACGGAUAAGGAAAUAUUAUUUAAAUAAUACUAACUGUAAAAUUCACUCAUGAGUGAUUGAGAAAACAUGAGAAAUAUUGUUGAAAAUAUCAAGUCAAUAUAACAGCAGCAUUUCUUCUUUUAAAAGUGUUGUGGGUGGGAUUCACCUUGUUGAACUGGAGGUAGGAAUAUUUGAAAUAGAUGUCUAAGUUCCAUUGCUGUCAUUGGAGACUUAAUCAACUCAGUGAGUGAAAUCAAGGGCUAUCAAUACCUUUCAUUACCCAAAGUGAACCUACAGAAAAGCUGGAGAGUGACUCUUUAUCAGGUAGCAUUGUCAUAGGACAAGGGAUAGUUGCCUUCAACUAAACUAGAUUAGACAUUAGAAAGAAAUUCUUCACUAUGAGGACAGUGAGAUACUGAAAUAAAUUGUCCAUAGAAACUGUGGAUGCUCCAUCUCUGGGAGCAUUCAAACGUAGGUUGAGUGAAGCCCUUGGCAACUUGAUCUCAUGGAAGGUGACUGUGCUAUGGCAGGGAAUUAGAACUAGAUGAAUUUAAGUUCUCUUCCAAACCAUUUUAUGAUUCUAUGACUAAAUAUUGAUCCAAUCAAUAUUAAGGUUUUCAGAGGAGCUGAAAAUCAAUCCCAGUGACAAUAUUAUUCAUUGUGAUAGAACACAUUCACACACCGUAAUGCAGACAUCCAAAUUUGGGUAAGAAUAAUCAGAUUAGAAAAGUUAGCCUUUUUGCAGCAAUUCAUUAUAUAAUACGGAAUUAUUUUAUUUAUUUUUGUUACUAAUAAGAGUACUAGAUGUUUCACAAGCAUAGAUACUGGUCAAUUAUCUGAGCAAUAUCCAAUAUAUAAAUACACAAAGUUAGAAGGAAAUGAUCAAUGCCAGAGAGAAAUAAAAGUUAAAAUAAUACAUGCUUUUUCUUCUGUGUCUGAGAGAAUGUGAGUAGAUGUGAAAGUUGGAAAACCAAAAGAAUUAGUAGUAUGACAACAUUCCUUUUCUACCCUAGCAUUGUCAAAAGAUAACAAGAUUAAUUCUCUGCUGUAGUAUUUCACUACAGUAGUGUGUUAAUUUGAGGGGCUUGGCUGAGCCUUAUUCAGCAUAUAAUUAGAAUUUACUGAACUUUAAUUUCUUAUCAUCUUUAGGCUGCAUUAUCAAAGUGUUUAUAUUGAAACAUUCAAAUGUUCAGUUAAAAAUAAACUUCAGUUUGUCAAGGAUACAUUGUAUACAAAUUCUGUGGAAAUAUUUGAAUAAAAUUGUUCACUUUUGCUUUGUGAGAAAUGCUUUGCACUUUACAUAUUUAUAACAUAAUGUCAUUAGAGUAUGUAUCUUAGAAAUAUAGCAAUUUCCUGGUGAAUUUAUUGAAUAAAUGCUUAUCUAAUAAGUAAUUUGAGAGUAGAGAAAGAUCUAAUGAAAAGCUAAAUACACAGUGAAAUCCUAAUCAAGCAAUUGAAAUAGUUACUCAUGAUAAAACUAAGAUUAUCAGAGUAUCAGAACACAAAUUACUCCAUUAAUCUUUUGAAUUAGUCAGUUCUUAUUUUCUGAAGCUAAGUAACUUGGGAAGGUACACUCAAGGUUUCAUCUUUCUGAAGACUGUAUUUAUUACCUUUACUUUCAUAAAGAGUUCAUUAGAAAGAAUAUUACAGUGAAAUACGUUAACUUUUUAGCCUGUUUUAAUGAGGUCAUGUGAGUCUUUAAUUAUCUGACAUAAAACUGCUUAGUUUUACGUAGUAUCUACAGAUACUAAUUAGUAUCUACAUAUAUACAUUAGUAUCUACAUCAAUUAGUAUCUACAGAUAUUAACGGAUUCAUAUGUCAUAAAGCCAGAAGAAACGCUGUUAUUGAAUCUUAUAUGUGGCACAAUGCAGGCCACAGGACUUCACUGAAUUGAGUAGUUGUAAGAGAUUAUUCUUUUAUAUGAUUGACUCAAAGUUUGCUGAGGAACAAGUCCAGGCAAGUCCUGGGCAAAGGUACAGAAAUCUUCUGUCUGGAGGACACUGAUGGACAGGUCCUGGCUAAAGGAUUGUGAAGUCCUUUAAGGAGCACAGAUGGACGAGGCCAGGGGCAACGAGAGAGGGAUAAGCUGCUGAUAAUGGCUGAGAAAUGGUCUUUUGUGUGGACUUAUCUAGAAGAAGAUGGCCAUCUCAGGAGCUACGCACAUGACUCUUGCUCAAGCACCCAGGGAUGUCACGUAGGCAGGAAAAAGAGGAGGAUAAAAGAGGGUCUAACAACCAUGAGGAGAGGGUUUCUGCCAUCAGAUCCCUCACCACGACGGACUCAAGGUUUCUGCCAUCAGAUCCUUCACUACGGACCAUAUGCUGAUGGACUUCCCUGGGCCUGCUACCUGAGACCUGCUGCUUCCUCCCAGACUUACUCUGCGGCUUCUUCCUGGACCCACCCGGUACCUGCACCCUCUCGUUGCCCAAGACCGGCCUCGCUGCUCCUGCCCUUCAGCCUCGGACCAUCAGAACAUCGUGCAACAGGACUACUGCUGGUGGUGACUAUCCCCGCUUUAUGCAAUUCUUGCUUCUUUCUAUCUUUUCUAUCGCUCGCCUUCCCUUUCCCAUCACCCCAAUCCAUAAUAGUGUCCGUCCUCCCCUUUCUUCAUCUCCCUUAUUAACAUAUGUAAUAAACUGGUCGGACCAACAUUUGAACCGUUGUUUCUUAAUCUCACGCCGGGCAUACAUAUUUCAAAGAACCUCCUCUCCCUCCUAUAAAUUGGAGUGAGACAGUAGUACAUUAUGUCUAAGUAAAUGUGAUUAAAAUGGAGUAUAUUAAAAUGGAGCAUACAUUUUUUAUACAUUCUUGACUUUAAAUAUACACAAUGUUAGAGAAUUCAUUACGGUCUUUCACAGGUUGCCUCAAUAGUUAGUAAAACAUAUAGCAUGCUGACUGUUCAUCAUUUUAGCAUCUUUCUUGGAAUGUUAUACAAAUCUCAACAUAUAUAAAAAUAGUUUUUAUGUCAUCUUUAUCAAUAACAUUUGAAAUAUCAUAAAACUGAAAGAGCAGAUAGUUUUACAAGAUGUGUUUACAGUAAAUCCACAGUAACUUUGGUUAUUAUAUUAAUGCACAUUUGUUAUAUGUAUCUACAGCUAACACAAAUUACUGUGGAAUUAUGAUAUUAGCUGUCCUGAUAUUUUGCUUGAAAGAGAUAAGUAACUACCCUCCUUGAAUUACUUGAAUCACCCUCUUAAAACCUAAGAAAUAUUAGCACAGAAUUAACAGAUAAAUUAAUCUGUACUGUUUUGGAAGUUUUUAAGGUUGUCAAGACCAAACACUGUAAAUAUGGCCUAGAAAUUCUUUUCAAAAGCACUUCAAAAGCACUUAGAUAUGUUUUACGUAGACAAUUUGAAAUAUAUUUAUACUUAUGUGAUUGCAGUCACUUUUAUCCUAAGACUAAAAUACCAUACAUUCUUCAGUUAUAAUAGAAUAUUUCACAUGAAGGGUUCUACAGAGAUCAUCAAGUCCAACUGCCUGACAACUUCAGAGGUAACCACAAGUUAAGCGUAUUACUGAGGGCAUUAUCCAAAUGCAUCUCAAGUAAUAUUAGGCAUGGGACAUCAGUCAUCUCAUUGCAGUGAGAUAAAAGCCUGUUCCACUGUUUGAUGAUAAAUAAAUGUCCAGUAUAGUCUGAAACUCCCCUGGCACAGCACAGCUGUGUGCCACUCCUGUGCAACCUGCAAUCAGCACAGAAGAUACCAGGGAGCAGAGACCAGCACCUCCCUCUGUACUUCCUCUCCUCAAGGAGCUGCAGAGAGCAGUAAAGUCAUCUUGUAGACUCCUAUUCUCCAGGCUAGACAGUCCAAGAGUCCUCACCCUUUCCUUACUAGACAUGUCUUCCAUUCUGAUUACCUGCUUUGUUGCCAUUGUCUGGACACUUUUAGAUAUCUUAAUAAUGUUUUUAUGUUGUGGGGCAUACAUUAUUCAAGGUGAGGUUGCACCAACUCCAAAUAUAUCAGGACAAUCACCCCAAAAAGCAGUUUGCCCUUUUGGCAACCAACACUGCUGGUUCAUACUGAGCCUGCUAUCAUCAGCCCUCCUAGAUCAAUUUGUUCUGAGCUGCUCUCCAGCCAUUCAUCUCUCAGUUUGUGUCAUCUCUCAGGUACUGUGCCAGGCAUAGUACCUGACAUUUACCUUUGUUGAACUUCACGCCACUGUUUCCCCAGUGCUCCAAUCCAUCCACAUUGCUCUACAAGACCUCAGCAACACAACUGACCAUCUACUAGCCAAAUGGGUCUCCAUCACUACAACACUUUGAGUUCUACCAUUGAGCCAGUUUAUCACCCUGCAUAGUGUGAACAUACUUAUCUCACAGUUGGACAAUUUGUACAGAAAGUUGCCAUGAAGGAUCAUAUCAAAGGCUUUACUGAAUUCUAGAAAGAUGACGUACGCUGCCUUCCUUCAUCCACCAAGUGGGUAAUCUUAUAAAAAGAAAUCAAAGCAAUGAAGACAGGGCUUUCCCUUCAUGAACCCAUAUUGACUAUGCCUGACAAUGGCUUUGUCCUUCAAGUGCCUUUCAGUAACACUCACUAUAAUCUUCUCCAUAAAUUUUUAGGGUACUGAAGUUAGGUUAACAAGUCUGUUACAGAUUUGUUACUUUUGUUACUUUGUUUUCAGUAAGUUCUUUCUCUUUAUUUUUUGUUUGUUUGUUUAUUUUACUUUGUUUUGGGAAGAGGAGAGCUUGUGGUGGGGAGUGGGGUUUUGUCAUCUACGUAGUGCUAUUGAAGAUAAUACUACUUUUUUAUAUUUAAACAUUUGAUCCUCAGAAAGUUUCAUCCUAUUCUUUCAUGUUUACGAGAUUUUUCUCUCUUCAAACACUUUUUUUCUUUGUAUGAACAUUUGCAAAUGAGUGUGUACAUGCAUAUCAAUGACCAUGAGUACAUGGGGCUUAUCUGUUCCUCAAAAAUAUGACUUGGUCAAAAUUACUUUUGCAUAAAGAACAACUGAAUUUCAGCAACGUAAUCCUUUCCUACUCAUAAGUCUUAAAUUAAUGUGCAAAAUUGAAUUAAUCAGCAUAUUUAAUUACAAUUUUUUUGUUAAACUUAUUUAUCUGUGAAGGUGUUAUGUAUAAUUUUUGAAAGUUAAUGGAUACAUUAUUAAGCAAAGAGUAACAGCUCCAACAAACCAGAAUUAUUUAAGUCUCUGAGGAAAACUAAGAUUUCCCUUCUGAUUCAUCUUUAAAAUCCUGUUUUCAACAUCUUUGCAAAGUUAAUUUUAGUUUUUUAAAAGCCAGGUAACUUAAAAUAAUUUUUCUGCCCUUCAUUCCUCUUUUGUUUAUCGUGUUUUUCAGAAUGUUGUUCCAUUAGUGACUUUGAAGUCAGUGAUGUUAGAUCAAAUUAUUCAAAUUACUAGCUUUUGUUGUUGCUGGUGCUGUUUUGUGGGUUUUUUUUCUUUUGUUUUGUUUUGUUUUGAUUUUCCUCUUAUGAAUGUAAUUUACUGGUGUAGUGGUUAUUAGAACAGAACUUCACAGUGUUUGUGUUUUGUCUUAAUUAUAAGUAAUUUUAUAUCACUAAUAUUAUCAGUAAACUUGUUUGUGUAUAUUUUACUCAAUGAAAUGUUAAUGCCAAACUUUGAACAGAAACUGUACUGACUACUUCUAUCUUAAAACAGACAGUACCAGUAGCUGAUUGUUUUACUUUUGUUUCCUUUCAUCAAACAACUCUAUUCAGAAGGUGAAAAUUUCCUUUUCUUCUUUUUGAUGGAAUUUCUUUUCAUUUCUCCCCUUUCUUUUCAUAGUUUUACAAACGGUCAGUUACACAGUUUAUUACAAAAUAUGUUGAGGCACAUGCCUAGAAGGUGUGUUGAAUGGCAUACUCCAUCUACUUGUGGCAUCUAUGCAUAUUAAGUUGUUAAAAGCAUGUUUGUCAAACUUAUAUGACAGUUUUAGCAAUUGUAAAAACGCAUAUUUGCUAUGCUAUGCUAGAAGAAGAGGAAGAAAAAGAAGAAGAGAAGUGAAAAAAGAGAGGAGAGGAGAGGAGAGGAGAGGAGAGGAGAGGAGAGGAGAGGAGAG